AGUGAACGCUGGCGGUAGGCCUAACACAUGCAAGUCGAACGGCAGCACAGUAAGAGCUUGCUCUUACGGGUGGCGAGUGGCGGACGGGUGAGGAAUACAUCGGAAUCUACUUUUUCGUGGGGGAUAACGUAGGGAGACUUACGCUAAUACCGCAUACGACCUACGGGUGAAAGCAGGGGAUCUUCGGACCUUGCGCGAUUGAAUGAGCCGAUGUGGGAUUAGCUAGUUGGCGGGGUAAAGGCCCACCAAGGCGACGAUCCUUAGCUGGUCUGAGAGGAUGAUCCGCCACACUGGAACUGAGACACGGUCCAGACUCCUACGGGAGGCAGCAGUGGGGAAUAUUGGACAAUGGGGGCAAGCCUGAUCCAGCCAUACCGCGUGGGUGAAGAAGGCCUUCGGGUUGUAAAGCCCUUUUGUUGGGAAAGAAAAGCAGCAGGUUAAUACCCCGCUGUUCUGACGGUACCCAAAGAAUAAGCACCGGCUAACUUCGUG
rnacentral:rRNA from 1 species